GAAGUAUGUCUGGGGAGCUUGUCAGAAAUGCAGAUUCAUGGGCUCAGAACUCAGCGGUUCUGAUUGUCAUGGAGUUUGGAUAAGGCCCAGGAACCAUCGUUUGUAACAGAUCAAUUAGAGAUAAUUCUGUGUUGACACCUCUAUAUCACCCGGACACAGUGCCAGGAACCUGCAGGGACUAUGAAGACAAGGGCAAUGAUCUAGAGAAGCAGUCUGGGACCCUUGAUGACCUUAUGAGCUGGGCCACCAGCCCACCAUGAACCAGCUGCCUCUCUCUGGAUGGCCACAUAAGAGAAAAGUUAACCCACUGAAUUUUGAAUGUUUCUUUGUUACAGCAGCUUAGCCUCUACCC
rnacentral:lncRNA from 1 species